rnacentral:rRNA from 1 species
GUGGGGAAUAUUGGACAAUGGGCGAAAGCCUGAUCCAGCCAUGCCGCGUGUGUGAAGAAGGUCUUCGGAUUGUAAAGCACUUUAAGUUGGGAGGAAGGGCAGUAAGUUAAUACCUUGCUGUUUUGACGUUACCGACAGAAUAAGCACCGGCUAACUUCGUGCCAGCAGCCGCGGUAAUACGAAGGGUGCAAGCGUUAAUCGGAAUUACUGGGCGUAAAGCGCGCGUAGGUGGUUUUGUAAGUUGGAGGUGAAAUCCCCGGGCUCAACCUGGGAACUGCCUCCAAAACUGCAUGACUAGAGUACGGUAGAGGGUAGUGGAAUUUCCUGUGUAGCGGUGAAAUGCGUAGAUAUAGGAAGGAACACCAGUGGCGAAGGAGACUACCUGGACUGAUACUGACAAUGAGGUGCGAAAGCGUGGGGAGCAAACAGGAUUAGAUACCCUUGUAGUCC